UGCAUUAAUGACUUCAUACAUAUAUUUAAAAUAUUCCUUGUCUAGAUAAUUCUCAUCCUCAACUUCAAAUUUAAAAUGAUUCUUCAACUCAUUUAUGGCAAACUUAGGCUUAGUUUCUUCAAACUCAAUUUGUAUAUGCCCUGUUCGUCCCUAUAUCUUAGUGUACUCAAAAAGAUCACCAUCCUGCUCCUAUUCUCAUUCUAAAGCAAUGUCCACAUAAGCUAUCAUGCCUUGAAUCCAGCACCUAGAUUGGCCACAUGAUAUGGCCGCAUGAAUCCUAGAGUGAUGCCCUG
rnacentral:lncRNA from 1 species